AAACUAUGUUUGAGGGGCAUCUCCUGAUCAUCUACUUGAAUCUCUCCCAUGCCUCAUAGAGGGACUCUCCCUUUUUCUGUCUAAAGGUCUGGACAUCUACUCUAAGCUU